UACGGGGGGGGCGAGCGUUGUUCGGAAUUCCUGGGCGUAAAGGGUUUGUAGGUGGCCUGCUAAGUCAGACGUGAAAUCCCUCAGCUUAACUGGGGAACUGCGUCUGAUACUGGCGGGCUUGAGGACAGGAGAGGAACGCGGAAUUCCAGGUGUAGCGGUGAAAUGCGUAGAUAUCUGGAGGAACACCGGUGGCGAAGGCGGCGUUCUGGACUGUUUCUGACACUGAAAAACGAAAGCCAGGGGAGCAAACGGG
rnacentral:rRNA from 1 species